CAGUGUUUGUUCCCUCCCACUCCAUGCCUUUACUCACUGUUUCCUCUGCCUGGAAUGCCCUUCCUGCUUUAGCCUCUCACUUGGCUAACUCCUUCUCCAACUCCAACAGCCUUACCCACCUUACCCCUCCACUCCCCAGUUAUGGCAAGGUAUCUCCUUUCUAGGUGCCCCCAUGCACUAUCUGUUUUCUUCCCUCUAUUCCUGCUAGAUAGUGAACUCCUGGGUUUUGCUGAAGACUGAAUCUCCAGUAUAGGCAUAUUAGUUUCCCUAGUCUGCUGUAAAAAAUUGCCACACCUUGGAGACUUAAAACAACAGAAAUUUAUUCUUUCACAUUUCUGGAGGCCAGAGGUUCAACAUCAGUUUCACCAGGCCAAAAUCAAAGUGUUAGCAGGACUAUGCUCUUUCUGGAGGCUCUCAGGGAGAAUCUGUUCCUUUUUCAGCUUCUAGUGGCUGCUAGCAUUCCAUUGCUUGUGGCCCUGUCACUCCAAUUUCUGCCUCCAUCUUCACAUUGCUUUCUACUCUUCUGUGUGUAUAAUCUACCUCCCCCCCGAUUUUAUUUGCUUCUGCCUUAUAAGGACACUUGUGGUGACAUUUAGGGCUCACCCAGAUGAUCCAGAAUAAUCUCCUCAUCUCAGGAUUCUUAUCUUAAUCAUAUCUGCAGAGACCCCUUUUUCCAGAUAACGUAACAAUCACAGGUUCUGGGGAUUAGGACGUGGACAUAUCUUUGGCAGACAUUAUCGGACUACCAAAAUAAGCAAAGACAUUUUUAAAUUUACCAUUUUUUAAGUAUCAGGUGCCAAACACUGUACAUACAUUUUUCUCAUCCCAUUUGUCUCGCAAUAACCCCGAAAGGUAGAUAUUAAUGCCUCCAUUCUACAGAUGAGGAAACUGGCUCAGGGAGGUUAAGUCACCUGCCUAAGGUCACAUAGAUGGUAAAUGACAAUGCUGGGAUAUGAAACCGGAUGAGCUUGGCUCCAAAGCCCGCAUGCUUUUUGCCUCACCAACAGCCUCUGAGCCUACCCCAGGCCCUGACACAGAUUUCUUGCCUGAAUGGGUGUGCAGAAAGAGAUAGGUGGACAAGAGAAGGGAAGAUGAGUCCCCGCCUUCCUAGUGACACUGACUCAAGGUUUCUUCUGCCAAAGCUCCCUCGCUACCCUUCCAAUCCUCCUCCACCAACCCUGACCCCUUGUUUCAGAACUCUGGAAUCCCCCCAGUUUGCAGCCCCUUGCCAACUACUACUGCCCAGAAAAGUGGUGCAAUGCCUGGACUUCAGGCAGGAGCUAUCAAAUCACAUAACCAGAGGGACGUCUGGAGGUCACCUCAUUUAGUCCCCUGCCCACAUCCAGGCCUGCUCAUAAGAACAAGGGCAGAAAGGGUCAGGGUAGUGGUCAGUAAUAGAAGGGUGAAGUAUCCAUCUUUUCCUUCAGCUAGCUUUUCUCCUUUCUCACUUCUUACAUAAUUUAUAUUGGGAAGUUCUCACUCAGUCUAACCUUCCAGAUGUGAUGCAUAAAGAAGGCUGGUCAGAGUCUUAGAACCUAUGACCCAGUCCUAGAUUCUCCAGAAAAUAAAACGAGAUUUUUGGCUAAGUCCCUUCA